GUUAGCUGCCAUGUUGGCAGCAGCUCUGUGGAAAGGCCCAUGUGGCAAGGAAUUGAGAAAUCUUGCCAACAGCCCAUGAGAAACUGAGGCCUCAAGUCCACAGCCAGAAUCUUAAAUGCUUGUGUGCAGCCACCAUCCUGACAAAUGAUUCAACAAAUGAUUCAAAGAGAAAAACCAGAAUACAAUUAUUUUGAUAGACACGUAAAACUGAAAAUCAAAUAUCCACAGAUGAAACUUCACCUUCAAGGAAAAUCGCCAACAGUGGUAAAGAGCUGCACAACACUUGAAGUUUUCUCCUGCAGCUUUGAUUGAACAAGCACCAGUAGGAGGGACUAAAAAUAAAGAGGUUCCUACAAACAUAGAAAAAGACUUUUUUUUUUUUCUGUAGCAAUGGAAACAAAAUAGCCACAAGAACCAGUUUUAAACCCAUUCAGUUGGUCAAGAAUAACCUGCAUCAGUGAGCCCCUCUCGCUUGAGUCAGCUCACGGGGAAAGAUUCACUCCAAUAAACACCCCUCUCAGUGCCAGCUAAUCAGCAGCAGUCUCACCUGAGUAACUGAGCUGCCGCAGAUGAUGUCCAACCACUCAUACCCCUGAAAGUCUGUCAAUUCCUAGCACUUCAUGCUUCCCCUAAAGAAAAAUCUGAUAUAAGGCUGUCUGCUGUGCCUG
rnacentral:lncRNA from 10 species